UCAUUGAACGAAAAAUUAACGUCUAGUGUAAAUCUUUAUUCUUGGAUGUUACUCUACAGUCUCAUUAAAGUUCACGUAUAUUAUAAAUUAUAAUGUAUAAUAUAAUAUUCUGGUAUUAAAAAUUAACACCCAACUGUCUAAAAAUAAUUAAUUGGUUAAUAGCAGUAGUUAUUAAUAUAACUAUAAACUCGACUGAGCUUUGCGAGUACACACGUGCAAUUCCUAUCGAAAAAAAUAAAAAAAAAUGAUAGCCCGGUUAUCGAUAUGAAAGUUCAACAAAAGUCUUUUAUUUUGUACGAUAAUAACGGAGCUAACACAGAUUGGAUGAUAGGUCUCUUUUAUUCUGAGUCGCCCAACCCGGUCCUCAAAAAUUGAAGGAACCUCUUUUUUUUUUUUUAUUAAUAUCUUCCAGCUCGAUAAUUUAAGAUAUGAUAAUUCUAACUUAAAGAAUAUAAUGUGUGUAAUUGUAUAAAAUUUUUUCUAUAAAGACAACAACGUGAAGAAAAAGAUAAAAAAAAUUAGUAUGCACUUAUUUUUAAAUGAAAUAAUUUACUCGCGAAUUUCUGGGAAGUUUAAAGAUGCCAUUAAACCUCAUAAAGCGGCAUGGCACGAGGAGGAAUCUGAGCGUGGCGGAAUCAACCGGCGGUCUCUGAUCAUCGUCGCUUGCACCAGCCAUACGAUUAUUAUAUAUUCUUCUCUCUUACUCGGUACAUCUUCCUCCUCCUCCUCCU